AACGGACGGAGUGAUGCAUAGCCCGAGUUGAGAGACUGAUCGGCCACAUUGGGACUGAGACACGGCCCAAACUCCUACGGGAGGCAGCAGUAGGGAAUCUUCCACAAUGGACGCAAGUCUGAUGGAGCAACGCCGCGUGAGUGAAGAAGGGUUUCGGCUCGUAAAGCUCUGUUGUUGGUGAAGAAGGACAGGGGGUAGUAACUGACCUUUGUUUGACGGUAAUCAAUUAGAAAGUCACGGCUAACUACGUGCCAGCAGCCGCGUAAAU
rnacentral:rRNA from 1 species